UAAUGUGUAUAGAUCAGGCUUUAAGGUUUGUAAAUAUUUUGAGAUCCUUAGGUGAAAAUCCAUAUUAAAAUAUGAAAUAUCAAUCUUGCCAGACAACAUUUUAUUCUUCAGGUAUGAAUCACAUCAGUAAACAAGUCUUUCCUGGAUUUGUGAUGAAAUGCCUGGGAAAAAAAAGAUUAUUAAUUUGCUGUGCUGUGCUCUCCGGCAUAAGCCCAACACAUUUCUCUGCCUCUGGUCUGCCAUGUAGUCCCAAUGCAGAGAAGAAGCUGUGCUGUACCACCCAGCAGGACCCUGAUCUUCCAGUGAGAUCCUGUCCAAUCCUGCUCUUUGAAGACACUACAUUUUCAUCCUCAACACCAAGAAGAACUGGGUUGGACUAGCACUUGGGUGGGAGACUUCUACUGCAUUCUAGAGUGUAGCAUUGCAUAUAGUGUAAAAAACCCCAGCAACCCAGAAGACAAUAUCUUGGAAAUUCCUGCUUGACAAUAUCCCAGAAAUUCCAAUAAAUAUUAAAUCUUGCCAUGUUUUUUGAUGGUUUGUGGCAUGCUGACAUGAUAUCGAUGACAGAUGACAUUAAUGUGAGUGGUUGACAUGGCAUUUGC